CCCAGAGCACGGGGUCUUGGAUACUGCGGUCAUGGGGGACCGGGUUGCUGGCUUUGUCACAGAAUCUUGGAGGAAGAAGCUGGAUAUGGGUGGGGGGUGCUCCCCUGGAGCCCAGGAAGAUCGGAAUGCAUGGGGAUGGGGGUCUGCAAUCUCAGGGAGGUGGCUGUGGCUCUCUCUGCCUGAUGGGGACAUGCCAUGCCCCAAGUGGGACUUGAGUGAGAGUUUGGAAAGAUUCUCUGGGCUUUAAGGAGCCUCCUUUGUUGGUCACCAUGGGCUGCUGUGGGCCGUCUAGGACCUCUGUCUGCUGUGUGUCCCAGGAGGCCUGGGAGGCUUGGAGAAUGAGGAGCCACAUAGGAACCAUGGCAGGCUCGUGCAGGGGUGUGGGAUAGGGUAGGGCUGAGACCCCUGGAUGGGCUCUCACAUUCCGGUGGCUCCUGCUUGAGGAACUGCAGGGUACCUGGACGUGUCCAGCAGAGGCCGAGAGCUCGGUGAAGGGAGGAGGGACAUAUGCCUCCUGCAGGUGACAUUGGAGCUCGUGGUCUGGUCUUCCUCCUCCCUCAGGAGGGAUGCUUGUGGCAGAGGGAAGGGAACAUGAGGAGCACCUUAGCUAACAGGACAAGAUUCUCAGAGCACUGGGAAGGGGUGCCCAGACCAGGGGGCUUCGUGAUAGCUGCACACAGCUUUAUUUGGUGGUGCCCUUCUGGAGAGGGGAGAGAGGACAGGGCCUCUGGCCGUGUCCUCAGAGGGCUCAAGCCUGGAGCCGUGUGACGUGGAGCUUAUGGGCAGGGAUUGGUGCCAGUCCUGCGGGACACAGCAUGUUUGGAAAUGCCAGACUGUGCAACAUGGUUGGGUUCUUUCUCAGAAGCGUGCUGCCAGGCUCCAGCAGGGAUUGUGUGUUAAGGUGCCAGCUGGGUUAGAAGCCCCUCAAGAGCCAGGUUCGAUUCUGGGCACAGGACUCAGAACUCCAGUAGUGUGUUCAGUAACCGUUCUUUGGGCUAGAUGAACAGCACGGUCUAGGUUUUUGAUUUACCUUUUUCUUCUUCUGAUUGCUAAUUGUGGUGAAACACACAACAUAAAACGUGCAAUUUUAGCCACCUUGCAGUGUACAUUUCAGUGGCAUUCAGUACAUUCAGCCCACCAUCCAUCUCUGGGACCCUGCCAUCCUCCCAAACAGAGCUCCGUUAGACCAAGCUCCCCACCCCCUCCCCCAGCCGCUGGCAGCCACCAUCCUACUUUCUGUCUUUAUUAUGAAAUAAUUUGACCACUCUAGGAAACUUGUAUGAGUGGAAAAAUAAAAUAAUUGCCCAUUUCUUGUCUGGCUCAUUUCACUUAGCAUGACGUCCUCAAGGUUCAUCCGUGCUGUUGUGUGGGGUGGAAUUUCCUUCCUUUUAAAGGCUGAUAAUAUUCUGUUGUGCGAUGCUACUGUGCUAUGUAGCUAUUCCUCCAUCGCUGGACCCUUACGUUGCUUCCAUCUCUCUCUAAGUCCCUGCUUUCCAUCUUCUUUGGCUUUUCUUUGAUUUUUUUGGAUAGUCUUGCUCUGUCUUCCAGGCUGGAGUGCAGUGAUCACCACUCACUGCAACCUCUGCCCCCGGGCUCAAGUGAUCCCCCAGCCUCAGCCUCCUGCGUACCUAGGACCACAGGUUGUGUGCCACCAUGCCUGGCUAAUGUUUAAUGUUUUUUGUAGAGACGGGUUCUCACCAGGUUGUCCAGGCUGAUUUCAAACUCCUGGGCUCAAAUGAGCCUCCUGCCUCGGCCUCCCAAAGUGCUGGGAUUAUAGGCAUGAGCCACCAUGCCCAACCUUUUUUUGGUUUUUCUUGUUGAAUGAGAAUUCUCUAGUGGUCAGUGGGCUUGGGAGCUGGGAGCACGUGGGGCCUGGAGAGGGUGUGGAUGGUGGGAGACCGGUGCUCCGCAUGCUUUCAUGGUGUGGAGCUCACAUUUGUCUUGGCAGGUCUGAGGCCUGGGACUCUGCAUUUCCUACAGAGGGGGCAUCAGAACACACUUGACUAGCCAGAGGCUAGCGGGCCUUGGAUGGUCGUUUCCAGCCCUCAGUGUGUGAGUCCAUGUUCCCUCUCUAAGCUUGACCCUGCGGAGCCACCCCGCCCCACCCACCCAGUCUUGGUGACAGCCUGCCGAUGGUGUGGUGUCAGGACAAAGGCAUGGGCAGUUUGCAGAAUGGCAGGAGCCUGCUUCCUCCCCAGCCUUCUGUUGGUGUGGGACCUUUGUUUGACGUGCCGGAUACACCCCCGUCCUGGGUUGAUGUGUUCACACUCAGCUGAGUCAAACAGGAUGUGGCUGGGGAGGCAGUUGUCACUGGGCCAUCUAAAUCUUGGUGACGGCUGGUGCUGGAUGCACAGGGACAUGGUUCUGGCUCUGGGGGACAGGUGGGGGGAUGUCCAUGGGGAUGUACAAGGCCAUCCUCCUCCAGGGGCAGACCCAGCUCAGCCCCUAAAUUGUGCCAGAGACUGUGCCGGGAACCAAGCCCAGGGACAUGUCCUGCAGACGGUGCUUUCUGGAGCUCACCGAGCUGUGAGCAGGAUGUGUGGGACACAAUGAGUGCCCAGGGAGCAUCCCCAGCAGUGGAAGUGCAAUUUCAUCAGGCCGGGAGGGGAGGGAGAGGCAGGCCACGUGGAGGCAGCAGUGCUCAGAGCUACCUGGGGCCUGGAGCUCUUCGGGGACGGUGGCUUUCUCCGUGGAACAGGGUGUACAUGUUGGAGCCUGGGCGUGGGAGAAAACCGUCAGCAUCUCAGACUCCCAGACAGAGACCUGUGCAGGUGGGAGUCCAGCUCUCGUGGAGAGGUCCAUGAGCUGGGCUGAGGGUCCUGAGGGCCUAAGCAGGUCCGGGUGGAGGAAAGACAGGGAGAGACGAGGGCAGGGCCUUCCUGAUGGAGGGGUGAUCCUGAAAUCCGAUGCGAGUGGCUGCUUGGGGGGUCCAGGCCUCAGGGAGCAUCACUAGCUCCUCCUCCUCCGAGGCACUGCCUGCUUGCUUCUCCAUCCUCCCUCUCUCUGUCAUGACUGUUCUGGAUAUAGAUCCAGCUGUCUUCAACUCAACUUCCUGCCUAUCUUUCCUGCAGGCCCAGCAGGCCAAUCCCCUUCUGCCCCUCCAUGCAGGGCUGGGUUGGGAGCUCCCUCAGCCUCCACGUGCCCUGCUCUGACCAAUCUCCAAGGCCCCCCGACCCCUGAGCACCAGGGAUCCAGCGGGCACAAUGGGGAAAAGGAGGGGGGAGGAAGGGAGCUCCGUGCCCUCUGAGCAGAUGCCCAGCCCAUUGGCUUCUGCCUCUGGGAGGGCAUCUGCCCUGUAGUUUGUGGGUAUAGGACAGGGUCUCCUGGGGCCCCAGCUGAAUUGCUCCCAGACUGACUUUCCCAAAGCACAGCACUGCAGAGAUCUCUUCCUGCCCUGACCCUUCACUGCUCACUCACUGUAGGCCCCUCCACUGUUGGUUCAUUCUCCUGCUCAGCUCACACCUCUGCGUCCCAGUUGCUCCUGCUUUGGUCUUCCCUUGGUCUCCCAUACCUUUCCUCACAACCUCUUUGCCCUGACCUCCUAACCUUAACCUGCUUCUCUUUAUAUCACUGCCUUGUUGAACUCCUACGCAUCCCUCAAAACCCCGUUCCAAUACAUGCAUUCGGCUUGGGUUAUAAAUGAUUUGUGUAUAAACUUUUUUUCUUCUGCUAGACUUUUUUUUUCAAUGCAAAAAUAGUUUUUCAGAUCACAAAAAGUACCUUUUUUUUUUUUAAUGCAGGAAGUACAGAAAUAAGAAAGAACCUAAAAUUUACCUGUAAGCCAGCAAUACCCACGCUUAAGGUUUUGCUCUAUAGUCUUCAGAAUUCCUUCCAUGCCCCCACUAGAUUCUGAGGGUGGGGCUGUUGUCUGGGUUUUUUUUUUUUUGAGAUGGAGUCUCGCUCUGUCACCCACAGGCUGGAGUGCAGUAACAUAAUCUCAUCUCACUGCAACCUCUGCCUCUGCCUCCCAGGUUCAAGCAAUUCUCUGGCUUUAGCCUCCCAAGUAGCUGAGACUACAGGCACACGCCACCACGCUCAGGUAAUUUUUGUAUUUUUAGUAGAGAUGGGUUUCACCAUAUUGGCCAGGCUGGUCUUGAACUCCUGACCUUGUGAUCUGCCUGCCUCGGCCUCCCAAAGUGUUGAGAUUACAGGCAUGAGCCAUCUCGCCCAGCCUGUCUUGGUUUUUAUAAAGAAUCCCAUAAGGGCCCAGGUGCAGUGGCUCAUUCCUGUAAAUGCAGCACUUUGGGAGGCCGAGGCAGACAGAUUUGCUUGAGCCUAGGAAUUUGGAACCAGCUUGGGCAACAUGGAGAAACCCCAUCUUUACAAAAAAAAUACAAAAAGUUAGCAAGGUGUGGUAGCAUGCGCUUGUAGUCCCAGUUAUCCAGGAGGCUGAGGUGGGAGGACCACCUAAGCAUGGGAAGCUGAGGCUGUGAUGAGCUGAGAUUAUGCCACUGCACUCCAGCCUAGGCGACGGGGUGAGACCCUGUCUCAAAAAAAAAAAAAAAAAAAACCCAAUAAGGUACUGAGUAAGUGACUUGGACAUAAUAGGUAUGCCAUGAAAUCAUGCUGAAGGAAUGACCCACUGGUGGUGAAACGGGGACAGCCUCUUGUGGCUGUUGUAGGCAGAUGUAGUGAUCACCAUGAGGCAGCCCUAGGGACCAAGCAGGAAUUUUCCUGGUCAACUUUACCCCCAGGGCACCUGGCCUCUCCUCAGGCCAUCAUGCUGGAGGGCCCAGUGAGUGGGUGCUGGCUUCAGUGUGGGGGUUCUGGAAGGGUCAGCAUUUCAGGAGGGAGUGUGGGCACUAGAUUGUUUAAGGGGAGGGAGAAGAAGAGGGCUGCUGCAGAGGGCACAGGCCUCCCUGCCCUCUCCUCUGCACCAGGGUCUGUUGAGGUCCAAGCUCUAUCCUGGUGCAGCAGGUUUUCGGGUUCCGAGGUUCUGGCCCUAUGCCUGCACAUGGCACCCUCCUUGCUGUCCUCCCCCAGAAGGGCCCUCGUCCUUUGGGGUCAUCCCUGGUCCUCUCAGGCUCUGGGUGGGGAUGGACUUGCCUCCUCUCUUGGGUCCCUGUUCUUCCGCUGUCCUCCCCUCCAACAUGGGUGCCUCUAGGCGGGGCAGGGCUGGGCUGCAGCACCCAGGACUGAGCCUGUAAGGGCGGGCUGCUGGCUCAGUCUCCCCCAACCAGAGUUUCCCUCCUCCAACUACUCAGCCACACCAGCCAAGUUUCCCCUGGGCUGCCUUAUAAGGCGGGUGCUCCAUGCUUGUCUGUGGGUCUGGUUCUCUGCCUUCUUAGGAUGCUCUCUGGAGGCAUGAGGGAGGCCAGGCCCGGUGCCCAGCUCAGUUCUGGGCAUGUCCUGGCUCUGCCCCAUGGGCCAACUGGUUCUGAACAAUCACUCCAACCCUCCCAGCUUCAAUUUCUUGAAAUGUCAAAAAGGCAUCUGUAGAGAUGGCUGGGGGCUGAGCUCUCUCGUAUCCAGCCACCCCAAGAAUCAAGAAGGGAGUCCUCGGUGCUGACGCUGCUUGCGACGGUGUGAAAUUGGCGUAGACAUGGCAGCAUGUCUCAGUAGUUUGCCUGUGACUGAGAGGGUCUGGAAAUCUUUGUCGUGUGGGUGGAGCACUGAGGAGCUGGGAGUCAGGCCCCUAGAGCCGAUGAUGGUGGGCGUGGCUCUUUGCAUACUUCCUCCACACCAGGGCUGGUGUUCCAGGGACAGAACAGGGAGGAAUCUCAGUUCAGACAGCAGCAGCUGCCAGGACAGUGUUGAGUUAUAGGGUUAAACAAAGCACAGGGCUCCCUGGAACCGCCCAACACAGAGCAGUGAGGAGGAGGCUUUGGUGAAAGUGGGGCUGGAGCUGAGUCUCGGGGCGGUGGCUGGGUAUCAGCCUGAAGGGAGGAACACCUACUGGGCCCCAGAAGUUCCUGGGUGGAGAUCAGGGACUGUGAAGUCCGGGAGAGGGUGACCGCUGUAUGGGUUAGGGAGGGCCCCAGGUUCCACAAAGGCCCACAGACAGCGCAGCUCCUGAACCCUUGUUUACAGGACACCCACAGAUGCUCUGAGCCUAUCCCCAGUCUGUGGACUCCCUGCGGGCAGGGUCUGUAGGUUCAUCCAAUACCAGGUAUAAGGCAGAGGGCCUUGGUGAGCGUCGGGGGUCUCACUGGUGUCUGAUGAAGCAGUGAGCUUGGAUCGCAUCAUGCAUCAGGCCCUGAGCCCACAGGAGUUUUCUGUGUGGGGUCACAUGCUUCUGUUUCUGGAGGGUUAAAGGCCAGGUGUCCAGAAGGCACGGACGUUUCUGUUGGUCUGUCUCAUCCGGAAGGCCCCGCUGCUCCCACCUCCUCCCAUGUUCCUGAGCUGCUUCCAGAGGACACCCAAGUCUCCUUUUAUUUUGGGAUUGGGUCUCUUUCUCUUUCCCUUUAACGGUGUUUUUUUUUUUUUUUUGAGACGAAGUUUUGCUCUUGUUGCCUAGGCUGGAGUACAGUGGUGCGAUCUCGGCUCACUGGGAUUACAGGCAUGUGCCACCACACCCAGCUAAUCUUGUAUUUUUAGUAGAGAUGGGGUUUUUCCAUGUUGGUCAGGCUGGUCUUGAACUCCCAACCCCAGGUGAUCCACCCACCUCGGCCUCCCAAAGUGCUAGGAUUACAGGCGUGAGCCACUGCGCCUGGUCCCUUCAUUCUAAGAACAAGUACCCUCCUUCUCCUAGCUGUCCCUGGAGCUGCUCAGGUCUGAAGCAGGAAGUCCCCCAUGUGCUGGGGGAACAGGAGGACCAAUGGGGGAGGAGCAGCCAGGCCAUGUGUGUCUCCUUCAUUGGGGGACGGGGUGGGACCAGACAACAGAGCCUGGCUCCAGGGCCCAGGAAGGGAACCCCUCCCCUGCCCGGCCUGCCCAGCUGCCUGCCAAGCCCUGUGCAGUGGUGAGAGGAAAGGAGGGCCAGUCCGGGAAUGCAGCGGGAGCUGAGCAGCUGAGGAAUACCUUAAAUAGAGCACGCAGCUGUGGAGAAGGGUGGGGUGGGGAGCAGGCUCUGGGGGCAGUGUCUCUGCUCCGCCCCUUGCAGCCCUGUGGCCCUGACCACCCAGUCUGGCCCCAGGAUGGAGCCCUGGCCCCCAGACACAUGGCACCGCGUAAGUCCUCCUCUAGGCACUUGUCCCAGGAAGCCAGAGCAGCUGCCAGAAGAGAGAGGAGCUGUGUCUGCACCCGCAGCCUCCCAGGCCCAGGACAGCUGCUGGGAUUGAGGGUCUGUACAAUGGCAAGCCUGUCCGGAGGGGCGUGCCCUGGCCAGACAACCACGCUCUGUGCGGUGUGGACAGAGGGCACAUUCAACCCUGGAGGAGCGUACUCAGUCUCCACCCGGGGCCCCAAAGUGUGGGCAGCCCCUGACCAGACCCUGGAUUCCGGCAGACGGCAUGAGAGGAUGCCCUGUGGUCCAUCCUGACCCACUGCAUCACCUGGGGCCUCAUGUCUGAGAGCUGCAGGGAAGCGCUUCCUCGGCUGGACUCUGCUUCCUCUCCGAGAUUUUCUGGGGGUGUGAUAAGUGACCCUCUCUCCCACAGUCCGGGUGCCUGGGGUCUGGGUUGUAACUGACAGGCUAGAGUAGCCCAUGGCCAGGCCUGAGCUUCCUUUCCAUUCUCUCCAAAUGCUGAGCCCAGGAAGGGGUUAAUGUGGAGAUGCUCUGAUUAGGUUAGGGGAGGCAUGGAGCUCCCCCUGCCCUGUCCCGCCAUUCCACUGCUGCUACUGGGUGUACUCUGCGGAGCCCCAGGACUCUUAAGGAGCCCAGACUAGAGAUUCCUAGUCUCAUCCAGUGCAGGUAAGGGGGAAAGUGAUUUGUCCACAGUGACAUGGCCACAGUAACCACACCUGGGUCAAGCUAGAUUCCACUCCACAGCCCCAGGCUGAAACCUAGAACCAGAAAUGGCCCUGAAAAUCACUGAUUCUGUCUCCCUCCUUCUAGAAUGGCCCGUAGAGGUUACGAUGUAGAUGCCUGUAAUGCCUUGCCCGCCCGUGUGUGGGGGAAAUGGUAGCGGCGCACCCGCUUUGCCAUCACACUGCCUGGGCACUGCCCCUGCCCUGCCUGGUGGCUUGUCCUCUGUGGUCUGUUUUCUCAUUGUAGACGUGGGCACAGUUCCUCCAGAGCAGCGUCGUUAGAAUGAACAGUGAUAACUCAUGAAGCAGGGCUGGAGCGCCUGGGGGAUUUGUGUUAAACGCACAAAUAAACAAAGCCGAGCACAAGCCUUAUUUCGUGAGCAGGCAGGCUUUGUCUGAAGCCCUGAGCAGCUCCUCAUGCCACUAACCCAUCCCUGGGUUCCAGGCCAGUGGCAUUGCCCCAUGCCUCUUCCGCUGGGAAGCUGGUGUUUAGAAGCCCCGCUCUGUGUCUCGGCCCCAUUCUCCUUGUGACAUUUUCCUUUCUUCAUCCUAAAAAGCAAUGCACAGCCAGGAGUGGUGGUGCAUGUCUGCAGACCCAGCAACUUGGGAGGCUGAGGCAGGAGAAUCCCUUGAACCCAGGAGGCAGAGGUUGCAGUGAGCCGAUAUCGUGCCUCUGCAGUCCAGCCUGGGUGACAGAAAGAACAAGACUCCAUCUCAAAAAAAAAAAAGAAAAAGAAAAAGGAGGCAAUGCCCAGCCAGUCAUUAUCAGAUAAAAAAAUGAACAUCACAUGAAAUUUGGAAAGGAAGUUUUUCUGUCCCAAGGGGUGGCCAUGUUGACAGCUGGGUGUGGCAUUCUCCUUCUGAAUUUUAUUUGUACAGAGUCACUCAACUUGUGUGAAGAGUCAAUGUGUAAAUAUAGACUUUUCAAGAACACAAAGGAAAUCAGACUUCUGCAAGCAGCUUUUAUUUCUUCCGUGUAGCAACACUGUUGGUGCUUGCAGAUGUAGCAUGUUGCUUUGUUUCGAGAUGGAAUCUUGCUCUGACUCCCAGGCUGGAGUGCAGUGGCGUGAUCUCGGCCCACUGCAACCUCCGCCUUCCAGUUUCAAGCGAUUCUCCUGUGUCAGCCUCCCAAGUAGCUGGGAUUACAGGUACCCACCACUACACUGGGCUAAUUUUUGUAUUUUUAGUAGAGACGGGAUUUCACCAUAUUGGCCAGGUUGGUCUCGAACUCCUGACCUCACAAUCUGCCCGCCUCAGCCUCCCAAAGUAUUAUGUUCCUUUUAAUGGUUGUGUCAUCAGGUGUCUCAUGGCCCUGCCAGGCUUUUCCAGCUUCCUCUGGUGAUUGAGAGGCCUCAACAGAUGUUCUCACACAUGUACCUGGGUGCGCAUGGCUGUAGGAUGGGCCCUUAGGAGUGAACUGUAUCAGGGAUGUGCCCAUUUAAAUUUUGAUCUGCCAGGCGCAGUGGCUCAGCCUGUAGCUAAUUCCAGCACUAUGAGAGGCUGAGGUGGGUGGAUCACCUGAGGUUAGGAGUUCAAGACUAGCCUGGCUAACAUGGUGAAAUCCCAUUUCUACUAAAAAUAUAAAAAUUAGCUGGGCAUGGUGGCUUGCGCCUAUAAUCCCAGCUACUCCAGAGGCUGAGGCAGGGGAAUCACUUGAGGUGGGGAGGUGGAGGUUGCAGUGAGCGAGAUCGUGCUACUGCACUCUAGCCUGAGUGUCAGAGCAAGAUUCUGUAUCAAAAAAAAUUUUUUGGUCCCUUCUCUUCCUCGGCGCUGCCUACGGAGAUAGCAGCGAUCUCCUGGUCGGAAUCAUGGCCACCCUUAGACCCCUUGUGAAACCCAAGAUCGUCAAAAAGAGAACCAAGAAGUUCAUCCGGCACCAGUGAGACCUAUAUGUCAAAAUUAAGCGUAACUGGUGGAAACCCAGAGGUAUUGACAACAGGGUUCGUAGAAGGUUCAAGGGCCAGAUCUUAAUGCCUAACAUUGGUUAUGGGAGCAAUAAGAAAACAAAGCACAUGCUGCCCAGUGGCUUCCGGAAGUUCCUGGUCCACAAAGUCAAGGAGCUGGAAGUGCUGCUGAUGUGCAACAAAUCUUACUGUGCUGAGAUCGCUCACAAUGUUUCCUCCAAGAACCGCAAAGCCAUCGUGGAAAGAGCUGCCCAGCUGGCCAUCAGAGUCACCAAGCCCAAUGCCAGGCUGCGCAGUGAAGAAAAUGAGUAGACAGCUUAUGUGCACGUUUUGUGUUUAAAUAAA